ACAUUUCUAUGCAUCCUCAGUUAGGUGGGGCCACAGAAAGCUCCAGUCCUGGCCAAUGGGCCUAUUAUUAACAGAAGCGAUGUGGACACUCUUAGGUCAGUGCAUUUAAAAGCUGGUGUGUGCUCACUCUCUCGUCAGCUCUCUCUGGGGCGGAGUUAAUCCCUCUUUUUCGUGUUCCCACUGCAUACCUACAUGAUGGUACUCAAUGACUAUACUGAGAUCUAUCUCAGUAUAAUCAAAUAGAAAUAGUAUACACGUACAGUAUAGAAAUAGCAUAGUAAUAUACCACAUAAUGCUAUAAUUACCAUAAGGGAAGGUGACCCUGAUGCAUUGGAAGUACUUUAGGGAGAAGGUACAAACCAGUUGACCAUUGCAUGCUAAGCUUUUGUUGAAGGAACCUAUUAGUACGACUUCCCCUUAAGCAAAUCUUCUUUUUCCAUUAACUUUUCUUAGAGAAAAAAACACUUGCAAUUUAAGAGGAAUAAGAAAUAAGUUCCUGAAUGCAAUUUAUAAGUAAACUGAAAGAUAUAUUCAUCUUUAAGGGACAAAAAUGAUAAUUUCCUAUUAUGUAAAGAAAGGGAGCUAUUUUGCCCCAAAUCAUAAUCAUAUGGGAAUAAGCCACCAAAUUUAAGCCGCGUAUUCACAAA
rnacentral:lncRNA from 1 species